CCUCCUUCCACCUCUGCACGAUGACUCAUGGCUGUAACCCUUCCAAUGCCCACACCCUCAAGCAAACUUGAGGUCUUUUUCAAGAAAUGGAACCACGCUUAUUAAUUUGUCUAACAUUUGCCUAACGAUAAACCCAAGGCAACUUUCCAGGGCCACACAGCUCAGUACGUCAGACCUUGACUUCUGGAUUCAGACAGGCCUGGGUUCGAAUCCCAGCUCUCUGCCUUGCAGCAGCCGUGCGGUGCUGGGGACGGAGCCCGGCUCACCGGCUUGGCAGGGAGACUGCGGAGAACCUGAAGAUGGUCUGGUCUGUCUUGUUGAUGGCGUCUCAGACGGUAGGGGGACACUGAAUGGGACAUCAAUGAGAACAUUUACCCAGUGUCUUCAUGUGCCAUGCCCUGUCCUAAGCCAUUACGUGAACUGGCUCCUUUCAUCCUCAUAGAAAGUCCAGGAAGAAAAUAUGAUUAUGCCUAUUCUACAGAUGAGGAAACUGAGGCACAGAGGGGUGGCAAAGUAGCAGCUCCACAGCUUGCAAAGGACAGAACUGAGAUUCGAACCUAGGCACGCUGCCUCCAGAGCCCCAGCUUUACCCUAGACCAGUGGGUCUCAGAGGUGGUGGGGUGUGUAGGUAUUUUGACCCCAAAGGACAUUGGGCAAUGUUUGCAGACAUUGCCAGUUGUCACAACUUGGCGAGUGCCAAGGAUGCUGCUAAAUCUCCUACAAUGCACAGGACAGGUCCCCACCCCGAAUUAUUCAGCCCCAAAUGUCAAUAGCGUGGCUGCUAAGAAACCCUGUUCUAG
rnacentral:lncRNA from 1 species